UUAAAUUGAAGAGUUUGAUCAUGGCUCAGAUUGAACGCUGGCGGCAGGCCUAACACAUGCAAGUCGAACGGUAACAGGAAGAAGCUUGCUUCUUUGCUGACGAGUGGCGGACGGGUGAGUAAUGUCUGGGAAACUGCCUGAUGGAGGGGGGUAACUACUGGAAACGGUAGCUAAUACCGCAUAACGUCGCAAGACCAAAGAGGGGGACCUUCGGGCCUCUUGCCAUCGGAUGUGCCCAGAUGGGAUUAGCUUGUUGGUGGGGUAACGGCUCACCAAGGCGACGAUCCCUAGCUGGUCUGAGAGGAUGACCAGCCACACUGGAACUGAGACACGGUCCAGACUCCUACGGGAGGCAGCAGUGGGGAAUAUUGCACAAUGGGCGCAAGCCUGAUGCAGCCAUGCCGCGUGUAUGAAGAAGGCCUUCGGGUUGUAAAGUACUUUCAGCGGGGAGGAAGGGAGUAAAGUUAAUACCUUUGCUCAUUGACGUUACCCGCAGAAGAAGCACCGGCUAACUCCGUGCCAGCAGCCGCGGUAAUACGGAGGGUGCAAGCGUUAAUCGGAAUUACUGGGCGUAAAGCGCACGCAGGCGGUUUGUUAAGUCAGAUGUGAAAUCCCCGGGCUCAACCUGGGAACUGCAUCUGAUACUGGCAAGCUUGAGUCUCGUAGAGGGGGGUAGAAUUCCAGGUGUAGCGGUGAAAUGCGUAGAGAUCUGGAGGAAUACCGGUGGCGAAGGCGGCCCCCUGGACGAAGACUGACGCUCAGGUGCGAAAGCGUGGGGAGCAAACAGGAUUAGAUACCCUGGUAGUCCACGCCGUAAACGAUGUCGACUUGGAGGUUGUGCCCUUGAGGCGUGGCUUCCGGAGCUAACGCGUUAAGUCGACCGCCUGGGGAGUACGGCCGCAAGGUUAAAACUCAAAUGAAUUGACGGGGGCCCGCACAAGCGGUGGAGCAUGUGGUUUAAUUCGAUGCAACGCGAAGAACCUUACCUGGUCUUGACAUCCACGGAAGUUUUCAGAGAUGAGAAUGUGCCUUCGGGAACCGUGAGACAGGUGCUGCAUGGCUGUCGUCAGCUCGUGUUGUGAAAUGUUGGGUUAAGUCCCGCAACGAGCGCAACCCUUAUCCUUUGUUGCCAGCGGUCCGGCCGGGAACUCAAAGGAGACUGCCAGUGAUAAACUGGAGGAAGGUGGGGAUGACGUCAAGUCAUCAUGGCCCUUACGACCAGGGCUACACACGUGCUACAAUGGCGCAUACAAAGAGAAGCGACCUCGCGAGAGCAAGCGGACCUCAUAAAGUGCGUCGUAGUCCGGAUUGGAGUCUGCAACUCGACUCCAUGAAGUCGGAAUCGCUAGUAAUCGUGGAUCAGAAUGCCACGGUGAAUACGUUCCCGGGCCUUGUACACACCGCCCGUCACACCAUGGGAGUGGGUUGCAAAAGAAGUAGGUAGCUUAACCUUCGGGAGGGCGCUUACCACUUUGUGAUUCAUGACUGGGGUGAAGUCGUAACAAGGUAACCGUAGGGGAACCUGCGGUUGGAUCACCUCCUUACCUUAAAGAAGC
rnacentral:rRNA from 1 species